UGCUUAAUGGAGUUGAACAUGUUUUACUUGAACAUGAUCAUAACGUGAAGUAGAUUAUAGUUUGACUACUUGAGUUCUAUACGGGAUCAAUAAGUUAGAAUUCAUUAAUGUUUAGAAGAACUUUGGCAUAUGUCCGGGAUCAAUAUGGCUUAUGUACUGAAAUCUUUAGCAUGCAAUCUAGGGAAUUCAAUUGCUAUCAACUAGAGAGGGUAGGAGUAUUAGGUGGUGGAUUCAAAGCUUUAGCAUCUUCAUUAUCUAUUUCGUAAACUCUUACAAAUCUGAUUUUUUUUUCUUUUGUUUCAAUUUUCUUACUUUAUUUUCUGUUUUCAAUCUAAACAUCAUAAAAUCAUAUUGUUAUUUCAUUAGGUGUAGUAUAAUUGGCAUAGUAAGUUGUUUUAAUCAAUUCAUAGAGGGAACGACCUCGUGCUUGCACUUCUAUUCUAUAAGUGGUUCGUGCACCUGCAAGUACUAUAUUAAAACAUACAACACCUUGACCCUCUAAGAGGCUACCUUAAUCCGUCUUUGCCCGCUUUGACCAAACUUGGGCCACCUUGACGCACCUUGGACCCCCAAGGGGCCGCCUUAACCCGGCUAAGGCCACUAAGGGGACGCGUUCACCCGUCUAAGGUCGUCAAGGGGAUGCCUUGACUCGCCAAGGGGAAACCUUGACCCUCCUAGACCAGCCUAGGGUUGCCUUGACCCUUCUAGGGCCACCAAAAGGCCGCCAUGACUCUCCAAAGGGCCGCCAUUACCCUCCUAGGGCCGUCUUGAGCCGCCUUAGCUGCCUUGACCCUUCUAGGCUCUCCUACGGCCACCUUGACACCUCCUACGGCCGCCUAGACCCUCCUAGGCCCGCCUUGACCCGUCUAGGGCCACCAAGAGGCCAUCUUGACCUGGACAGAGCCGCCAAGGGGCUGCGUUCACCAAGGGGCUGCCUUGACCCUCUUAGGCCCGUCUAGGGCCGCCUUUACCCGCAUUAGCCCGCCAUGACCCGCCUUGACCUUCCUUAGGCAGCCAAGAGGCCACCUUGACCCAUCCAAGGGCACCAAUGGCCCGCUUGAACCGUUUGUCGACCCACCUUGGGCGGCCAAGAGGCCGCCUUCACCCGGCUAGGGCCACCAAAGGGGUAGCGUUCACCCGUCUAAGGUAACCAAGCGGCCACCUUGACCUUCGUAGGGCUGCUUUGGCCUGCCUUGACCCAUUUUGGCCCCCCUUGACCCGUCUUGGCCCCCCUUGACCCGUCUUCGGCUACCUAGACCCUCCUAGGGCUGUCUAAACCGGCCAAGUCCCACCUUGACCCUCCUAGAGCCACCAAGAGGCCGCCAUGACUCGCUAAAGGGUCGUCAUGGCCCUCCUAGGCCUGUCUAGGGCCACCUAACCCGGCUAGACCCUCUUAGGGCCGCCUUGACCCAUCUAGGGACAUAAAAUGGCCGCCUUGACCCGGCUAAGGUAGCCAAAGGGCCGCGUUUUAAGGCCGUCAAGGGGCCGCCAUGACCCGCCAAAGGGUUGCCUUGACCCUUCUAGGCCCGUCUAAGGACGCCUUGACCCGUAUUAGCCCGCCUUGACCCUCCUAAGGCGGCCAAGAGGCCGCCUAGACCCUUCUAGGGACGCCAAGAAGCCGCCUUGACCCUCUUAGGGCCGUCAAGAGGUCACCUUGACCUGUUUAGGGCCACCAAAGGGCUGCCUUGACCCGUCUAGGGCCACCAAGAGGCCGCCUUGACUUGUCUAGGGCCACAAAAGGGUUGCCUUGACCCGACUAGGGCAGCCAAAAGGUCGCGUUCACCCGUCUAAGGCUAUCGAGGGGCCGCCUUGAUCGGCCAAGGGGCUACCUUGACACUCCUAGGGUUGUCUUGACCCGCCUUGACUUGCUUUAACCCGUCUUGGGCCGCUAAAAUGCUGCCUUGACCCAUCUAAGGCAACCAAGGGCCCGCCUUGGGCCACCUUGACCCUCCUUGGGCCGCGUUCACCCGUUUAUGACUCGACAAGGGGUUGCCUUAACCCGCCAAGUGGCUUCCUUGACCCUCCUAGACCCGCAUAGGGAGGCCUUGACCCUCUUUUGCCCUCCUAUACCCACCUAAGGUCACCAAUGGGAAACCAUGACUCGCCAAAGGGUCAUCAUGACCCUCUUAGGCCUAUCUAGGGCCUCCUAACACGGCUAGACCCUCCUAGGGCCGCCAAGAGGCCCCCUUGACCCGUCUAAGGCCACUAAGGCUAGGGGUCGCCAUGACCCUCCUAGACCUGCCUAGUGCCGCCUAACCCGGCUACACUCUCCUAGGGUCGCCUUGACCCGUCUAGGACCACAAAAGGACCGCCUUGACCCAGUUAGGGCAGCCAAAGGGCCAUGUUCACCCAUCUAAGGCCACCGAGGGGCCGCCUUGCCCCUCUAGGAUCGCUUUGGCCCGCCUUGACCCGCUUUGGGCCGUGUUGACCCACCUUGGGCCUCCUUGACCCUCUUUGGGCCACCAAAGGGCCGCCUUAACCCAUCUAAGGCCACCAAGGGCCCGCCCUAACCCGCCUUGACAUGUCAAGGGUGACUUUGACCCGCCAGGACCUACCUAGACCUGCUUAGGUUUACCCUAAACUUGCCAAGGGGCUGCCGAGACCCCCUAGUGCCGCUAGUGGGCCGUCUUGACCUACCGAUGGCUAUCAAGAGGUCAUUUUGACCUGCCUUGACCUGCUAUAGGACCACCUUGACCAGCCUUGACAAGUAAAAGGGCCGCUUUGACCCGCCUUAACAUGCUAAGAGACCGCCUUGGCGCUCCUAGAUCCACGUAGUAACCAUCUAGACCCGCUUAAGGACCGCCUAGACCCUCUUAGAGACCACCUAGGGCCGCCUUCACCCACAUAGACCUGCUUAGAACCUGCGUAGGGACCGCCUAGAGCUGCUAAGGGGCUGCCGAGACCUUGCUUGACAUGCCAAGGGGCCGCUUUGACCAACCUUAACCUGCCAAAGGACCGUCUUGACCCAGUUUGGUUUAGCCCAAACCUGCCAAGGGGUUGCCGAGACCCCCUAGUGCCGCUAGGGAGUCGCCUUGACCCACAGAGAGCCACCAAGAGGCUGCUUUGACCCGCCUUGACAUGCCAAGGGGCCUUUUUGACCCGCCUUAACCUGCCAUGGGACCGCAUUGACCGCCUUGACAUGCAAAGGGGUCGGUUUGACCCACUUAGACAUACCAAGGGGCCGUUUUAACCCACUUUGACUCUCCUUAACCUGCAAAGGGACCGCCUUGACCCACUUUAACAAGCUAAGGGGCCGCUUUGACCUGCCUUGACAUGCCAAGGGACCACCUUAACUCGCCUUGACAUGCGAAGGAGCGGGUUUGACGUGCCUUAACCUGCCAUGCGCCUUGACCCGCCUUGACCCGCCUUGACAUGCAAAGGUGCGCCGUAACCUGCCUAGGGCCGUCAACUCUUGCCUAAACCUGCUUACAACCUGCGUAGGGACCGCCUAGACCUACUUAGGUUUAGCCUAGACCCGCCAAGGGGCUGCCGAGACCCGGCUUGACAUGCCAAGGGGUCGCUUUGACCCGCCUUAACUUGCCAAGGGACCGCCUUGACUCCUUAGCCCGGUUUGGUUUAGCCUAAACCCUCCAAAGGGUUACUGAGACCCCCCUAGUACUGCUAGUGGGUCGUCUUGACCCGCGAAGGGCCGCCAAGAGGCCGCUUUGACCCGCCAUGACUUGCCAAGAGACCGCCUUAACAGCCUUAACCCACCUUGACUUUCCAAGAGGACGCUUUGACCCGCCUUGACCUGCCAAAUGACCGCCUUGACUGGCCUUACAAGCCAAGGGGCCUCUUUAACCCACCUUGACAUGCCAAGUGAUCUCCUUAACCAGCCUUGACAUGCAAAGGAGCCGCUUUGACCUGUCAAGGGAUCGCCUUGACCAGCCUUGACAGUCCAAGUGCUGCUUUGACCUGCCUUAACCUGCCAAGGGACCACUUUAACCAGCCUUAACAUGGCAAGGGGCCGCCUAGCUUGAUUGCCUUGACCCACCUUGACAAGUUAAAGGGCCGUUUGACCCACCUUGACAUGCCAUGGGACCNNNNNNNNNNNNNNNNNNNNUGACAUGCCAUGGGACCGCCUUGGCCCUCCUAGACCCACAAAUGGACCACCUAGACCAGCUUAGAGACUGCCUACACCCGCUUAGGGACCACCUAGACCCGUUUAAGAGCCUAGACACGCUAAAGGGCUGUCGAGACCCGCCAACGGCUGCUAGUGGGCCUCUUUAACCCGCCAAGGGCCGCUUUGACCUUCCUUGACCUACCAAGGGACCGCCUUGGCACACCUUGAAAAGCCAAGGGCUGAUUUAACCCUCUUUGACCUGCCUUGACCUGCCAAGGGACUGCCUUGACCCACCUUGACAAGCCAAGGGGCCGCUUUGACCUGCCUUGACAUGCCAAGGGACUGCCUUAACCCGCCUUGACAUACCAAGGGGUCGCUUUGACCGCCUUGACCUGCCUUGACAUACCAAGCGACCGCUUUGACCACCUUGACAUGCCGAGGGCCGCUUUGACCUAUAUUGACCUGCCAAGGGACCACUUUGACCACCUUGACAUGCCAAGGGACUGCCUUAACCCACCUUGACCCACCUUAGACUGAUGAACGCGUCCCUUUGGCUGCCCUAACUGGGUCAAGGCGACCUCUUGACGGCCCUAGGAGGGUCUAGCCCGGUUUGGCGGUCCUAGACGGGCCUAGGAGGGUCAUGACAACCCCUUGACGAGUCAUGGCGGCCCAUUGGUGGCCCUAGGAGGGAGGGCCUAGAAGAGUCAAGGCACCCUUAAGCGAGUCUAGGAAGGUCAAGGAAGCCCUUUGGCGGGUAAAGGCGGCCCCUUGGCGGCAUUAGACGAGUGAACGCAGGCUCUUGGCAUCCCAAAGAGGGUCAAGGCGGGCCAAGGCUGCUCAAGGCAGAUCAAGGCUAGUCAAGCGGCCCCUCGGCGGCCUUUGACGGGUGAACGCGGCCCUUUGGCUGCCCUAGCCGGGUCAAGCGGCCCCUUGGUGGCCCUAGACGGGUCAAGGUGGCCCAUUGGCUAUCGUAGGUGGUUCAAGGUGGCCCCUUGGUGGCCUUAGACAAGGCGGCCUAAGACGGGAUAGGAAGGAGGGUUAAGGCAGCCCUAGACGGGCCUAAGACGGUUUGACCCACCUUAGGCAGUCCCUUGGCAUGUCAAGGUGGGUCAAACCGGCCCAUUGUCUUGUCAAGGUGGGUUAAGGCUGUCCAUUGGCAUGUCAAGGAGGGUCAAAGCGACCCCUUAGCAUGUCAAGGUGGGUCUAGGCGGUCAAAGCAGUCCUUUGGUAGGUCAAGGCAGGUCAAAACGGCCCCUUGACGGCCCUCGGCAGGACAAGCCAGUCCACUAGCGGCGCUAGGCGGGUCUUAGCAGCCCCUUGGCGGGUCUAGGCUACCCCUAAGCCAGUCUAGGUGGUCCCUACACAAGUUCUAAACAGAUCUAGGCAGAUCUUGACGGCCCUAAGCGGGUUAAGACACCCCUUGGCGUCCCUAAGUGGGUCUAGGUGGUCCCUACGUGGGUGUAGGAAGGCCAUGGUAGUCCCUUAGUAGGUCAAGGUGAGUAAAGGUGGUUAAGGCGGUCAUGGCGGUCCCUUGGUAGGUCAAGGCGGGUUAAGGCGGCCCACUAAAGGCCCUAGGCGGGUCUCAAUAGGCCCUUGACAAGUCUAGGCUACCCCUAACCUGGUCCAGGCAAUCCUUACUCUGGUUUUAAGCAGGUCUAGGUGAGUCUUGACUGUUUUAAGCGGGUCAAGGCGACCUGUUGGCGGCCCUAAGUGGGUCUCAACAACUCCUUAGCGGCCCUAGGCGGCCUUUAACCGGGUCUAUGUGGUCCCUAAGCUAGUCCAGGCGGUCCCUAAGCUAGUCCAAGCGGUCCCUAAGCGGGUCUAGGUGGCAGCUACGAGGGUCUAGGAGGGCCAUGGUUAUCCCUUGGCAGGUUAAGGCGGGUCAAAGUGGCUCCUUAGCAUGUCAAGGUGGUCAAGGGAGGUCAAAACGACCUCAUGGCAGGUCAAGGCGGGUCAAAGCGGUCCCAAGGCAGCCCUAGGCGGGUGAAGGCAGCCCCUUGGCAGGUCAAGGCCCCCUAGGAGGGUCAAGGUGCCUUCUUGGCGGCCCUUAGUAGGUCUAGGUGGUCCCUACAUGGGUCUAGGAGGGUCAAGGCGGUGGGAGGUCAAGGCAGGUCAAAGCGGCCCUUUAGCGGUUAGCGGUCCUUAACGGCUCAAGGAGGCCCACAAUCGGCCCUAGGCGGGUCUCAGUAGCCCCUUAGCGGUCUAGGCAGCCCUUAAACGGGUCUAAGUGGUCCCUACGUGGGUCUAGGAUGGUCAAGACGGUCCCUUGGCAUGUCAGGGUGGGUCAAAGCGGCCUUUGACGAGUCAAGACCGCCCUUUAGUGGCCCUAAGCGGGUCUCGGCAGCCCCUUGGCAGGUCUAGGAUACCCCUAAACGGGUCUAGACGGUCCCUCCGAGGGUCCUAAGCAGGUCUAGACGGGUCUUGACGGCUCUAGGUGAGUUAAAAGUAAUGGGAGAGGAUCCUCUCUUGAGCUAGUUACUUUCUCCUUAGAGGAUCCGUGUGCCAAUCCCUCCGUCCUCUCCUUUGAGUUGCACUGCUCCAAGAGUAUACGAAUCAGCAAUAACCACAGUGCAUUUUGAGCACAAUAUGCAGGGGCUAUAAUCAAUAAACAAUUUCACUCAACCGUUGCUUUCGAUGGUUUUAGGUUUGUUUAGCAAGAAACGAUUUCAUCAAAUUAAAAAAAACUCAUUUAGCUUUUACAAUAACAAAACCUUAUCGAUCAUUAUAGCAAAACAAAAUGGUGAGAGGUACUGAGGUAGCAAUGCAAGUGAUGCAUAUUUCACAGGGCAAAAAAUGGUUCAAGUCAUAUAUGUACUCUUUAACUGCUCAUAUUUUUUAGCACACAAAUUACCACUUGUUUAAUUUUCUCCAAUCAACAUCGUCAACAGCCAUGCUGCUUCCGGUGAGAUGCCUACUGUCAGUCGAGACGAUUGGAGGUAUUCUUGUCUCUUAUAAUAUGGAUUGAACUUCUUUAAUGUUUCAUUGCUUUGUGAUGGAUGGUUUACUUCAUUGCUUUAAUUCCCAACUUCAUUCCUUCCCACAUUUCCAUUGCUAGAUUCGUUAAGAACCAACACUAGUUCUUAAUUUCUGGAAGUGUAAUUCUUUGCAAACAUAUGAGCAGAGAUCGCAAUGAGAAAGCUAAGCAAACAAGUUUCACCACUAAACGUCAAACACAUGUAUGAUUCCUCAAGUAGCUCAAAUAAAUAUAUGCUCAGCAGUACCAAAGUGAAAGCUAUGUAACCUUUUCCGGGUUUGCCACAACUAUCUUAACGAGCAAGUGUCUACGUUCCACUGAAAUUCUCAAGAUUCAAUUCAUUCAUACAAACUCAGUUCACAAUGAGAGUGCU
rnacentral:lncRNA from 1 species